GCUUUCUCACCGCACCAGGAGAGAGAAGGUGACGUGGCAUUGUGCUGCAAGUCAGCUGAAUUGACACUGCUGCUGCUCCUGGGGAGGGCUGAUUUUUCCAGAAGGAUCUGGGCAACUCGUGGUUUUGCCCACUGUGUUAUACUGCUUUCCUACAAGCCUGCGUUCAGCAGCCGUAGCAACAGAGGGUGGCAAAGAGAGCGGUGCUUGGAAAAGGAGACAUCGAGUAGUCCAUGCAUCGCUGAGGACGAGCUCCUGUGGAGUCACCGAGCUUAUCCUCCGCUAGCUUUGGCUGACUCAGUGCAGCCUGCAUCACAGGGUCUGGCCUCCAGCUCUGAUCCUUCACACCAAAAUAGGGUAAGUUUAAAGCCAGCGGCCCCGCUAUUCACAUUUCCAUUUCUUUAUCAAACAUGCAGGUGCAAUACAAGGUGCAAGGAGAGAUUCACUUCUGGUCUGAUUUUCUACAACAAUGUAGCUCCUAAAAAUAACUCAAUAAAUACAAAAAUAACACUGACGGGUGGCUGAAAUAGAUGCAAAAUGCUACAGUAAACAAAGCCUGAGGACUUCACUUCUUCCAGCCCAGGCAG
rnacentral:lncRNA from 1 species